GAAAAGUCUAGGAUGAAAGGAUAAAUUGUUCAGAAAAUACGAUAUCUGGACUAAAAUAGUUCAUGCUAAUUGAUAGACAUGUGACUUAAAAUUUUUAUUUUAUUGUUUUUAUUGUGUGGCUUAAAGACUUCAAGUUGGUCCCCGAAAUACCACAUUCUGAGGUACACAAUUUCAUGUGAUACUUUAAAAAAUAUGAAAGAACUUAUGAUUUUUUUAAUUUUUAAAAAAAUUGUAUUAGAUAUGUUUGCAGUAAUAAUGAUUACGGUUUUCAUGUGAACUUGAUACAUGUGCAUAACAUAUCUUAAUUUUUCAAUUCCUCUUUCCCUGCUGUUUACCUCCAUCUCUUAGCUUCCUUCCCAUUUGCAAAACACCUAUCUGUCCAACUAAAAGAAUAACACCUAUCUCUAACUACAAAGACCUAGCUUUAACUAAUAAUAAGACUUACCUCUAACUAAAAUAAUUAUGUACCAUGAUUAUGGUACAUUAUAUAAAAUUAUGUCUUUUUACUAUACUCUCUCAAUAAACUCUCCUUGCUGGAAAGUCAAAAGCCAUAAUGAGAAAGUCAACAUGGCAGGAAUACAGACAUUCAACAAGAACUACAGGCAGUGUCUAGAAAUGGAAGGCAGCCUCUAGUUAAGAGUGUUCUCCAGGGAAUCAGUGCAAUAUUAAAAAAGAGAACACAUUCUUCCAUCAACCAGAGUUAGAAGAAAGGAGAUCUUCCACCAUUCAUGUCUCCAGGUGUAAUCACAGCCUUGCUAAGCUAUGCUCAGAUUCUUGGACUGAGGAAACUGACAAAAGAAAAUGGAAUGAAAAUAGAGAGCACACUAAGAAUGAGAGAAAGGAGCCCAUGGACAGAAGUGAAAGGAUCAGAGAAGGUCCUAAGGGAGAAAAAGGUGCUUCAAGCCCAUGACAUGCUGGUAUUGAAUUGCCUCAAAGAAACACAUUAUUUUGUUCAUUUACAAAAACUAGUACAUGUAAUAAUAAUGACAAAAUAUAUAUUACACAUGGCAUAAAAAUGCACUCCAUCAUUCUGAGCAACUUUGUACAUUACUAGUAAUAAAGAAUAUUUUAAAAAUACAAUUUUAAAGAGUAUUUCUCAGUACAAUCAAGCUGGAAUGACAUUUAUAAACUUUAUUUUAAAAUUUCUCACCAGCAAAAUAAAGUGGUUUGAUACAAAUGUGAGUGGGUUAUGAGCAUGGCUG
rnacentral:lncRNA from 1 species